CAUGCUUUUAGUUAAUGGCCGCAGUACACUGACUGUGCAAAGGUAGCAUAAUAAUUUGACUUUUGAAUGAAGUCUUGUAUGAAAGAAUAUAAUGGGUUUUAGCUGUCUCUAUAUUUUUAUAUUAAAAUUAUUUAAGGGGUGAAAAUCCCCCUAGGUAAAAUAAUAGACGAGAAGACCCUUAGAGUUAUUAAAAUAUAAAUUUAUUAAUUUAUUCUUUUUUGUUGGGGCAACAAAGUAACAGUCCAAAAUUACUUAUAUAAAUUUAACACAACGAAAACUUUUAAUUCUGAAUUAACUACCUAAGGGAUAACAGCAUAAUUUUAUUUUAAGUUUGUGACCUCGAUGUUGGACUAGGUAAAAUUUUUACUAGACGUAAAAAUUUUUGGUUCUGUUCGAACUUUUUUACCUACGUGAUCU
rnacentral:rRNA from 1 species